rnacentral:lncRNA from 1 species
CUCAGCUGGAGGCUCAACUCACACGACAAGCUGCUGCAAAUUUUCUCCCUUUCUCUCGGCUCGCACACGGACUGGAUGGUUGCAGCUGCUCUUGGUUGGGUGCAGUGGGUCACGGUUGGUGGAGGUGAAUUGCAGCUGGUUAAAGUGAAGGUGGAGAGUGCAGCAGCAGCUCACGCACGGUCUCUCUCCUUUCACUCUAGCUUACGGCAGAAUUGAAGAUGGAAGCUUACUCUCUCGGACAGCACCAAUUUUCUGAUCGCAUGACUUCCUUUCUUUUCUCUCUUCGAUAUUCACAAGGUGAAGAAUGGAGUGGGUUGUUGUUGUGAGUUGAGGUGCGGUUGUGGAGAGAUAGAGUGUUUGAGAGGAUGGUUUGCUGAAAUGGAGAAGUUGCGUGGUUGAGAGGAGCAAAGAAAAUGACAUCCGGCAGAGAAUGGGAUUGGGUGAUCUAAAGGUUGGCCAAUGGAGCUUCGGUGGUUGCAUGGUAAAUCCGAGAUGGUUGAGGGCCAAUUUGGUCUAUUCACAAAUCAUUCGAAUUUCCACUUAAACUCUCAUUCAUAAACUAACUCCGAGAUUUUACUCCAAAUAAAAUUCGAUAGCCUACUAGUGUACUAAUCUCGCGAAAAAAAAUUCAAUUAUCGAGAUUUAACGUCCUAAGUAUACUUGGUGUACUUGUAACGAUUUUGUCUAAAAUUUAUCGAUUGCACCUUAAUACUAAGGUUCCUAUUAACAUUUAACAUUCUUGCUUUAUUAAUUAAACUAAUAAAAUCAAGGGUGACCUUAAUAUAUAACUCUAACAUUCUUAAUAUUCAUUUAUCUUAACAGAAAACCAAGUGGUUUAAUAUUGUUGCUCCAUAAUAUUAUUUAUCGCAUAAAAAAAAUUGUUUAAGAAGGUAAAGAUAGUUUUCUAUUGGUUUCUAACUAACAUGGAAAAUCAACAUUUAAUCUUUGUACAUGUUAGGCAUCUACAUGCUUCAAAACGAGUGUUUUUCCAUGUUUAUUUUAUUAUUUAUUUUCAUAACAAUAAUUCUAACUAGUACUAAUAUUUAAUGGGGUAGGUGAUACAAAUUCCAAGGUAUUACUAGUUUAUUUGUUAACGUAAAGAAAUAAUUAAACAUGUAUUUUAAUAAAUAAAAGAAAGUGGAUCAUGUGUGAAAUUUUAAUUUAAGGAAUAAAAUUUUCAAGCUCUCACUCGAAAUUCUUGCAGUUAUCUUAGGUAAAUCAGGAUAUUUCUAAAUUCUCAAUUUUUAUAUAACGAUUCAAUUAGGCUUUUAAUUUAACCACUUAUUCGUUAUAUGUAAUUUUUCGAAUCGAUUAUUAACUGCAGUCGCGUAUUUACUAUUUUCACUUAACGAGCCUACAGAAAUUAAAUUUCGAAACGAAACGCUUUAAAAAUAUAACUAAGCUAUGGAUAUAUUUAAUUAAACCUAAAAAUGUUAGAAAAUAAUAAUCGGAGAGAUCGGGUGAGUAAAUACUUAUUUGAGCCAGCAAAAUAAAUGAAGUAAGCAAAAUUUUCGGGUUCUUACAUCUAUCCCGUUUAAAUUUCUGUCCGGGUCUAUCCCGUGGGUCUAUCCCAUUUAAAUUUCUGUCAGAGUCUAUCCCGUGGGUCUAUCCUAUUUACAUUUCUGUCCGGGUCUAUCCCAUUUAAAUUUCUGUUCGGGUCUAUCCCGUGGGUCUAUCCCAUUUACAUUUCUGUCCGGGUCUAUCCCAUUUAAAUUUCUGUCCUGGUCUAUCCCGUGGGUCUAUCCCAUUUACAUUUCUGUCUGGGUCUAUCCCAUUUAAAUUUCUGUCUGGGUCUAUCCCAUUAAAAUUUCUGUCCGGGUCUAUCCCGUGGGUCUAUCCCAUUUAAAUUUCUGUUCGGGUCAGUCCCGUUUAAAUUUCUGUUCGGGUCAGUCCCGUUUAAAUUCCUGUUCGGGUCAGUCCCGUUUUAAAUUUCUAUUCGAGUCAGUCCCGCUUAAAUUUUCUGUUUAAUUUUCUUGUCUGGGUCAGUCCCAUUUCACAGUUUGAUAAAGGAGUCAGUCCCCGUUUCUAAAGUGUCCAUUUGUACGAGACAUUUUCACCGCCAAAUAACACCGGUAAGUAUUUGGUGUCUAUUUCUUUGUCUCAAGUUUUUCCAAAACUCAGACAAAGAGGGGCAAACUGUAGACACCAAAUUUUUAAGGAAUUUUGUUUACUAUUAUUUCUAUUAUUUCUAUUUUGAUUAAUUUCAUUUUAUUUUUAUUUUUGUUUUUCAUUUUAUCAUUUAAUUAAACUUUAAUCAUUUAGUUUUUAAUUUAAUUUGUUUCGAUGUUAGGAUUUUACUUUAUCUUAUUUUAUUUUAUUUUUUGCACAUAAGCCUAUUUUUGGGAGGAUGAGAUCUUAGCCUUUGAUCUUAGGUUUAGUUUUUCUUUGGAGUGCCUUAAAAGAUGAAAGAGCCGCAAACAAGGGGAGGCUAGGAGGGGUGGACGAAGGAAAAAAAUGAAAGAAAAGAGCCUGGUGGGAGGCCUAAGGAAAGGAGAAAAAGGAUAGCCGACAAAGUGAAAAAAGGGAGAGAAGGUUUCGGUUGGGCUUAUGGGUAAAGAAAACAGCACAAGAACAGAGAGGAGAAAGGCUUCAGCGAAAAAAAAAACUUGAGGAAAUCAGAGAAAAAACAGGGAAGGAAGCUUAGGGCCGAGAGAGAGAGAUCUGGGUGAAGUUGUUGGGACUUGAGGACGGCUGAGAAAAAAUCAAUCAAGAGGAGGGGUGCCGGAAGCUAGAAAAUUGGGAAGCGUAUGAUGGAAAAGAAAAAGAGUGACGGGGGUUCGAGAAAAAGGUUUUUGUUCGGCAGAGGAGAAGGAGAGAACUGAGAGAGCUCUCGGAUGUGAAGGAAAAUUGGAAGGGCUUCAAUAAACAAAAUCAGGAAGAAAAAGGAAAUGGGAACAGCGGCUAAGGCAGCUGAAAGGGAGAAGGCCGGGAGGUUUAGUUGAAAGAAACCUGGGGGAGAAAGGGAACAGCCGAGAGCUUUAGGAGUGACAGCCGAAAUCUGAAACAAGAAAAGAAACCUACGAAGAGAAAUAGGGAGAGAGGUUGACAGCUAGAAUCUGGGGUUGAGGUUUUGGAAAAGGGAAAACCGACAGAAAAAAAAGGGGGCCGAAAAAGAAAGAGAGCCGCGGAUGCGGCGAACGGCAAGAAAAACAGAGGCGGCUUCGUCAAGGUCGAAGGAAAAACAGAGGGAAAAAAAGGCAACGGGCAAAUCUGGCCUUUGGAGGGGGUGAACUUCGGGGUCAGACGAGAGAGAGCAAGAGUAGGGAAGAUCUGGAAAAAUAGAAAAAAAACAAAAACGAAAGUGGAAAAGAGAAAAUCAGGAGCGGCGGAACAAGGGGAGCCAAGGAAAAACAGAGAGGGCCGCAACUGCGGUCAAAAACAGGGGAAAAAACAGUCGGCUGAACUCGAAUCUCGCCUCCUCGUCAUCGUCAUCGACCUCCUCCUCCGUCGCAACCUCUGCAGCGAUUGCUAAGAAGUAGCCUCCAACUGAUGAACUGUUGAUUCUCGUUCCAAGUCAGCCAUUGCAGCGCCAAGAACCAGAGCUGCCACCACCGCUGGAACCCCCGUCUUCGUUAUCGGCGAAAGUUUGCCAAGCAGAGCACUGUAAGCUGCCUUUGUUCUUUAAGAUUUCCGUUUUCUUUUUCAAGUUUUGAUACAGAUUCCCCGUGGUUUUGCUUUAGUGCAAUUUUUCCUGUUAAAUUGUCUGAAUUUGUCGAACAUACAUGUAUUGAUUAGAUUUAAUUUUCUUGGGUUGCUGAUAAAGUUUUGGACUGAUUUCCUUGGUUUUUGACAAAUUUCUGGGUUAGUCAUGCUUCAAUUUGAGCAGAAAUCUGGUAGGAUUUUGAUGCCUACAACCUGUUUGAUGAAAUGCCCAACUAAGUGUUCUAAUUAAAGGAUAAUUAGUCUGCAUUUUUGCGUGUGAAGAAAUUGAAUAAGUUAGCAAGUUCAUUUUUUUUGCCUUUGAGAAAAUUCUGAUGAAUCGAUGUUUUGCAUCUUCUUGUUUUCUUGCCUGGAUACUCUGUGUUGGGAUUACUAGUGAUAGACAAUUAUGCUUGAGUUAUGAUAAAGUUGAGGACUUGGAAUUCAUAUGAGUUGGGUGGACUGAUCACGAUGUACUCAUUUCCAUUGCUGUGCAUGGUCACCAUUUUCGGCUUGCAGCCGGAAAAUUACAGAAUGUGGUUUUGAUGUUGGCAUGCUCUUUUGUCUGACUUCUGGGUUUAAAUUUAGAGGUUGCAUGUUGCAAAGUAAAGGUAUAGGUAGUAGCUUUGUUUGUUCAAGAUUAAGCUAGAUUUGAUUGUGUUUGUGAGUUGGGUUUGUGAAUUGCUAAGUUGCAGAAGCUUUUGUCUAAAUGAGAAAGAAACCUGUUCUUCUUAAGUUUGUUUGGGUUUUCCAAAAGAAUUGCAAUUUAAUCCCUCAAUUUCUGUCUAAUUUCAUUGUGGCUCAAAAUCUGGAAAAACCAAACUAAUUUUGUCCUCUUAAGCUUAAUCCUCUGUUUGCAUAUUUUAUGUGAUUUUCUGGAUAGAUUAAUGCUGGGGUUUGAUGCAUAAUCAGAGUUUAGCAAGUUUAGUUGGGUUUAUUUUGGUGGACUUUAUUAAAUGAAAUUAGACUUGGUUUGGACCUUUCGGUUGGGCUAGGAAGGCUUUGGCCCAAACAAAUAAUAAAGUGGCCCAAUGAUCUGAUCCAUUAAGAAACCAGAAUUCGAAUUUGCAUAUCAGCCCCCGUACU